rnacentral:rRNA from 1 species
GAAAUUGAUCUCCCCGUGAAGAAGCGGGGAUAUAAAUAUAAGACGAGAAGACCCCAUGGAGCUUUAAACCCAACAACACCUAUCUAUUUUAUUCCCCCAUAUUUAUACGGUUAUGUUUGUUUGGUUUUAGGUUGGGGUGACCGCGGAGUAUAAAACAACCUCCACGAAGAAAAGACUAAUAAUCUUUAUCAGAGAAAGACAUUUCUAAGAAAUAAUAUAUUAACUUUAAAUGAUCCGAUAUUCGAUUAACGAAUCAAGUUACCCUGGGGAUAACAGCGCAAUCCACCUUAAGAGCCCUUAUCGACAGGUGGGUUUACGACCUCGAUGUUGGAUCAGGGUAUCACAGUGGUGCAGCAGCUACUAAUGGUUCGUUUGUUCAACGAUUAAAACCCU